rnacentral:rRNA from 1 species
UGACUAAGCCAUGCGAGUCGAGAGGGUUCGGCCCUCGGCGUACUGCUCAGUAACACGUGGAUAACCUGCCCUAAGGAAGGGGAUACCCUCGGGAAACUGAGGAUAAUACCCUAUAGGUUACCGAUGCUGGAAUGCUCGGUAACUCAAAGUUCCGGCGCCUUAGGAUGGAUCUGCGGCCGAUUAGGUAGUUGUUGGGGUAACGGCCCAACAAGCCCGUAAUCGGUACGGGUUGUGGGAGCAAGAGCCCGGAGUUGGAUUCUGAGACACGAAUCCAGGCCCUACGGGGCGCAGCAGGCGCGAAAACUUUACAAUGCGGGCAACCGUGAUAAGGGAACCUCGAGUGCCUGUACAUGCAGGCUGUCUGGGUGUCUAAAACACACCCAAAGAAAGGGCCGGGCAAGACCGGUGCCAGCCGCCGCGGUAAUACCGGCGGCUCGAGUGGUGGCCACUUUUAUUGGGCUUAAAGCGUUCGUAGCUGGGUUGUUAAGUCUCUUGGGAAAUCCGGCGGCCUAACCGUCGGGCGUCUAAGAGAUACUGGCAAUCUUGGAACCGGGAGAGGUGAGGGGUACUUCGGGGGUAGGAGUGAAAUCCUGUAAUCCUCGAGGGACCACCUGUGGCGAAGGCGCCUCACCAGAACGGCUUCGACAGUGAGGGACGAAAGCUGGGGGAGCAAACCGGAUUAGAUACCCGGGUAGUCCCAGCCGUAAACGAUGUGCGUUAGGUGUAUCGACGACCACGAGUCGUCGAGGUGCCGAAGGGAAACCGUGAAACGUACCGCCUGGGAAGUACGGUCGCAAGGCUGAAACUUAAAGGAAUUGGCGGGGGAGCA